rnacentral:rRNA from 1 species
GAUGAAUGCUGGCGGCAUGCCUUACACAUGCAAGUCGAACGGUAACGCGGGGCAACCUGGCGACGAGUGGCGAACGGGUGAGUAAUGUAUCGGAACGUGCCCAAUAGUGGGGGAUAGCCCGGCGAAAGCCGGAUUAAUACCGCAUGAGACCUGAGGGUGAAAGCGGGGGAUCGCAAGACCUCGCGCUGUUGGAGCGGCCGAUAUCAGAUUAGGUAGUUGGUGGGGUAAAGGCCUACCAAGCCUGCGAUCUGUAGCUGGUCUGAGAGGAUGACCAGCCACACUGGGACUGGGACACGGCCCAGACUCCUACGGGAGGCAGCAGUGGGGAAUUUUGGACAAUGGGCGCAAGCCUGAUCCAGCCAUGCCGCGUGCGGGAAGAAGGCCUUCGGGUUGUAAACCGCUUUUGUCAGGGAAGAAAUCUUCUGGGUUAAUACCUCGGGAGGAUGACGGUACCUGAAGAAUAAGCACCGGCUAACUACGUGCCAGCCGCCGCGGUAA